rnacentral:rRNA from 1 species
GAACUCUGGUAUUGAUUGGUGCUUGCAUCAUGAUUUACAUUUGAGUGAGUGGCGAACUGGUGAGUAACACGUGGGAAACCUGCCCAGAAGCGGGGGAUAACACCUGGAAACAGAUGCUAAUACCGCAUAACAACUUGGACCGCAUGGUCCGAGCUUGAAAGAUGGCUUCGGCUAUCACUUUUGGAUGGUCCCGCGGCGUAUUAGCUAGAUGGUGGGGUAACGGCUCACCAUGGCAAUGAUACGUAGCCGACCUGAGAGGGUAAUCGGCCACAUUGGGACUGAGACACGGCCCAAACUCCUACGGGAGGCAGCAGUAGGGAAUCUUCCACAAUGGACGAAAGUCUGAUGGAGCAACGCCGCGUGAGUGAAGAAGGGUUUCGGCUCGUAAAACUCUGUUGUUAAAGAAGAACAUAUCUGAGAGUAACUGUUCAGGUAUUGACGGUAUUUAACCAGAAAGCCACGGCUAACUACGUGCCAGCAGCCGCGGUAAUACGUAGGUGGCAAGCGUUGUCCGGAUUUAUUGGGCGUAAAGCGAGCGCAGGCGGUUUUUUAAGUCUGAUGUGAAAGCCUUCGGCUCAACCGAAGAAGUGCAUCGGAAACUGGGAAACUUGAGUGCAGAAGAGGACAGUGGAACUCCAUGUGUAGCGGUGAAAUGCGUAGAUAUAUGGAAGAACACCAGUGGCGAAGGCGGCUGUCUGGUCUGUAACUGACGCUGAGGCUCGAAAGUAUGGGUAGCAAACAGGAUUAGAUACCCUGGUAGUCCAUACCGUAAACGAUGAAUGCUAAGUGUUGGAGGGUUUCCGCCCUUCAGUGCUGCAGCUAACGCAUUAAGCAUUCCGCCUGGGGAGUACGGCCGCAAGGCUGAAACUCAAAGGAAUUGACGGGGGCCCGCACAAGCGGUGGAGCAUGUGGUUUAAUUCGAAGCUACGCGAAGAACCUUACCAGGUCUUGACAUACUAUGCAAAUCUAAGAGAUUAGACGUUCCCUUCGGGGACAUGGAUACAGGUGGUGCAUGGUUGUCGUCAGCUCGUGUCGUGAGAUGUUGGGUUAAGUCCCGCAACGAGCGCAACCCUUAUUAUCAGUUGCCAGCAUUAAGUUGGGCACUCUGGUGAGACUGCCGGUGACAAACCGGAGGAAGGUGGGGAUGACGUCAAAUCAUCAUGCCCCUUAUGACCUGGGCUACACACGUGCUACAAUGGAUGGUACAACGAGUUGCGAACUCGCGAGAGUAAGCUAAUCUCUUAAAGCCAUUCUCAGUUCGGAUUGUAGGCUGCAACUCGCCUACAUGAAGUCGGAAUCGCUAGUAAUCGCGGAUCAGCAUGCCGCGGUGAAUACGUUCCCGGGCCUUGUACACACCGCCCGUCACACCAUGAGAGUUUGUAACACCCAAAGUCGGUGGGGUAACCUUUUAGGAACCA